UUUUAUUGGUUUAAUAAUAAAAAGAAAAGUUCUAUUCUCUCGAAGCGAUAGUGAUAGGUUGUUGUAGGAUGAACGAGACUAGGAAAAAGGAAAUAAGAAAAGGCAUAGUGUUUCGUCCCGGGACCGCCAAAGGACUCAUCGGAUGCAUUGGAACACCAACUCCAACCUCCAUUGUUCUUGAAGCCAAAGCAGGUGGAGAAUAACGCCCAUCAUUCAUGUCUGAUUCUGCUUCUCUCUGCUCUCCAUGAAUCACUGCUA